rnacentral:tRNA from 4 species
GCGGGUGUAGCUCAGUUGGUAGAGCAUUUGCUUCCCAAGCAAAGUGUCACGGGUUCGAGUCCCGUUACCCGCU